rnacentral:rRNA from 1 species
AGCUCCAAUAGCGUAUAUUAAUGUUGUUGUGGUUAAAAAGCUCGUAGUUGGAUCUCGGCAGAUUGAGGGCGGUUUGCUUGCUAGUAUUACUGCCCUAUAAUCUGUAGUUUUGCCAGAGGUUUUAGGGUGCUCUUAAUCGAGUGUCCUGGGAUGCUGGCAGGUUUACUUUGAAAAAAUUAGAGUGCUCAAAGCAGGCUGUUACGCCUGAAUAUUCGUGCAUGGAAUAAUAGAAUAGGAAGUCGUUUCUAUUUUGUUGGUUUUCGGAAAUCGAGCCUUUGUAUUCAAACGACAGAGGUGAAAUUCUUGGACCGUUUGAAGACAGACUACUGCGAAAGCAUUUGCCAAGAAUGUUUUCA